GUGAACGCUGGCGGUAGGCCUAACACAUGCAAGUCGAACGGCAGCACAGUAAGAGCUUGCUCUUACGGGUGGCGAGUGGCGGACGGGUGAGGAAUACAUCGGAAUCUACUUUUUCGUGGGGGAUAACGUAGGGAAACUUACGCUAAUACCGCAUACGACCUACGGGUGAAAGCAGGGGAUCUUCGGACCUUGCGCGGUUGAAUGAGCCGAUGUCGGAUUCGCUAGUUGGCGGGGUAAGGGCCCACCAAGGCGACGAUCCGUAGCUGGUCUGAGAGGAUGAUCAGCCACACUGGAACUGAGACACGGUCCAGACUCCUACGGGAGGCAGCAGUGGGGAAUAUUGGACAAUGGGCGCAAGCCUGAUCCAGCCAUACCGCGUGGGUGAAGAAGGCCUUCGGGUUGUAAAGCCCUUUUGUUGGGAAAGAAAAGCAGCAGGUUAAUACCCCGCUGUUCUGACGGUACCCAAAGAAUAAGCACCGGCUAACUUCGUG
rnacentral:rRNA from 1 species